rnacentral:rRNA from 1 species
GGGGUGUAGCAAUACACUCGCUGGCGACCGGCAAACGGGUGCGGAACACGUACGCAACUUACCCAGAACUGGGGGAUAGCCCACCGAAAGGUGGAUUAACACCCCAUAAGAUAGUAGAGUGGCAUCACUUAGCUAUUAAAACUCCGGUGGUUUUGGAUGGGCGUGCGGCUGAUUAGGUAGUUGGUGAGGUAACGGCUCACCAAGCCUGCGAUCAGUAACUGGUGUGAGAGCACGACCAGUCACACGGGCACUGAGACACGGGCCCGACUCCUACGGGAGGCAGCAGUAAGGAAUAUUGGUCAAUGGACGCAAGUCUGAACCAGCCAUGCCGCGUGGAGGAUGAAGGCCCUCUGGGUUGUAAACUUCUUUUAUGUGGGACGAAACCCGGGUAUUCUUACCCGAUUGACGGUACCAUAGGAAUAAGCACCGGCUAACUCCGUGCCAGCAGCCGCGGUAAUACGGAGGGUGCAAGCGUUAUCCGGAUUCACUGGGUUUAAAGGGUGCGUAGGCGGACAUGUAAGUCAGUGGUGAAAUCUUCGAGCUUAACUCGGAAACUGCCGUUGAUACUAUAUGUCUUGAAUGUUGUGGAGGUGAGCGGAAUAUGUCAUGUAGCGGUGAAAUGCUUAGAUAUGACAUAGAACACCAAUUGCGAAGGCAGCUUGCUACACAAAUAUUGACGCUGAGGCACGAAAGCGUGGGGAUCAAACAGGAUUAGAUACCCUGGUAGUCCACGCCCUAAACGAUGGAUACUCGACAUACGCGAUACACUGUGUGUGUCUG